rnacentral:rRNA from 1 species
CAUGGCUCAGGAUGAACGCUUAGCGGCAGGCUUAANACAUGCAAGUCGAGGGGUAUAGUUCUUCGGAGCUAGAGACCGGCGCACGGGUGCGUAACGCGUAUGCAAUCUACCUUUUUACAGAGGGAUAGCCCAGAGAAAUUUUGGAUUAAUACCUCAUAGUAUGUGAGAAUCGCAUGGUUUUUCACAUUAAAGUUCCAACGGUAAAAGAUGAGCAUGCGUCCCAUUAGCUAGAUGGUAAGGUAACGGCUUACCAUGGCGACGAUGGGUAGGGGUCCUGAGAGGGAGAUCCCCCACACUGGUACUGAGACACGGACCAGACUCCUACGGGAGGCAGCAGUGAGGAAUAUUGGACAAUGGGCGCAAGCCUGAUCCAGCCAUGCCGCGUGCAGGAUGACGGUCCUAUGGAUUGUAAACUGCUUUUGUACAGGAAGAAACACUCCCUCGUGAGGGAGCUUGACGGUACUGUAAGAAUAAGGAUCGGCUAACUCCGUG